UACAGGGGUCCCAAGCGUUGUUCGGAUUUACUGGGCGUAAAGGGCGCGUAGGCGGCCACCGCAAGUCGACUGUGAAAUCUCCGGGCUUAACCCGGAAAGGUCAGCCGAUACUGCGGGGCUAGAGUGCAGAAGGGGCAACUGGAAUUCUCGGUGUAGCGGUGAAAUGCGUAGAUAUCGAGAGGAACACCUGCGGCGAAGGCGGGUUGCUGGGCUGACACUGACGCUGAUGCGCGCAAGCGUGGGGAGCAAACGGG
rnacentral:rRNA from 1 species